rnacentral:tRNA from 1 species
GCGGAUAUGGCGGAAUGGCAGACGCGCUUGGUUCAGGACCAAGUCUCGGCAACGGGGUGGAGGUUCGACUCCUCUUAUCCGCACCA